GUGAGGAAUAUUGCGCAAUGGAGGCAACUCUGACGCAGCCAUGCCGCGUGCAGGAAGAAGGCGCUACGCGUUGUAAACUGCUUUUAACCGGGAAGAAACCCCAGGACGUGUCCUGGGUUGACGGUACCGGAGGAAUAAGCACCGGCUAACUUCGUGCCAGCAGCCGCGGUAAUACGAAGGGUGCAAGCGUUAUCCGGAUUCAUUGGGUUUAAAGGGUGCGUAGGCGGAGCGUUAAGUCAGUGGUUAAAUCCUGCAGCUUAACUGUAGACUUGCCAUUGAUACUGGCGCUCUUGAGUGCGCUUGAAGUGGGCGGAAUGUGCCGUGUAGCGGUGAAAUGCUUAGAUAUGGCACAGAACACCAAUUGCGAAGGCAGCUCACUAAGGCGAUACUGACGCUGAGGCACGAAAGCGUGGGGAUCGAACAGGAUUAGAUACCCCAGUAGUCC
rnacentral:rRNA from 1 species